AGCGUGCAGAGGGGAGUCACGUGGCUGUCAUCUUAUUGGUGUGUUUCAUCUGCCUCCCCAGGACUGGGCUCUCCAGGAAGGCACAGAGGUGGGGUCUGGGGGGCAGAACCCAGGGCAUGCAGAUCCAAAAAAGGCUUGGUUCUGGUUCUUCUCCAUGAGAAUGGCAGCUCCCAUAUAGCGUCCUGAGUUUUACUCCAUUCUUCUUGGGGUGGCUUCUAUGCGUCCUGAAGAGGGCACGGCUGCCCCACUGGUUUUGCAUUUUCAAGAGAUGAUGGGCACGUUCAAGCUUCUCCUUGGCUGAUUCAUAGAAAAAGUCGUCGACGCCCUCCAGAGCCACAUCCUCUCCUUGGAAGUAGAAGCCCAGAGAGAGGUUGUUUGCAAAGUCACAAGACCAUGAGGCCUGGCAGUCAUCUGUAUGCAACAGUUAAAGUGUGCGGACAGGUCCAGCUCCAACAGCAUUAAGUGCUAGAGAGAUGACAUUUGGCAUAGCCAGAGAGCUUUCCUUGCCACAUCCAUGGGAGGGGGACUAUAGUCAUUGCCACAUCUGGAAACUGUUCAUAGGUGCUGUCUCUGCUGCCACCUUCAUGACAAGGGCUCCACUUGGUCCCAGAUUUUUAAUUUCAUUUUCAAACUCAAAGUUUGGAGUUGAUGCAUCUGUUUGGCAGGCUGGAUCAAACACCUGCAUCCCAUCUUUACAGAAGGCGAGG